rnacentral:rRNA from 1 species
GAUCAUGGCUCAGGAUGAACGCUAGCGGCAGGCUUAACACAUGCAAGUCGAGGGGCAACGCGAGUAGCAAUACUUGGCGGCGACCGGCGCAAGGGUGCGUAACGCGUGAGCAACAUGCCCGUAUCAGGGGGAUAAGUCCAGGGAAACUUGGUCUAAUACCCCAUAGUAAUUUUGUAAGGCAUCUUAUAAGAUUUAAAGCUUUGGUGGAUACGGAUUGGCUCGCGUGACAUUAGCUGGAUGGUAAGGUAACGGCUUACCAUGGCUAUGAUGUCUAGGGGUUCUGAGAGGAAGGUCCCCCACACUGGAACUGAGACACGGUCCAGACUCCUACGGGAGGCAGCAGUGAGGAAUAUUGGACAAUGGAUGGAAAUCUGAUCCAGCCAUGCCGCGUGAAAAGGAAGAAGGUCCUAUGGAUUGUAAACUUCUUUUGUAUGGGAGCAAUAAGGCCUACGAGUAGGUUGAUGAGAGUACCAUACGAAUAAGCACCGGCUAACUCCGUGCCAGCAGCAGC